UUAAGCGACUAAGCGUACACGGUGGAUGCCCUGGCAGUCAGAGGCGAUGAAGGACGUGCUAAUCUGCGAUAAGCGUCGGUAAGGUGAUAUGAACCGUUAUAACCGGCGAUUUCCGAAUGGGGAAACCCAGUGUGAUUCGUCACACUAUCAUUAACUGAAUCCAUAGGUUAAUGAGGCGAACCGGGGGAACUGAAACAUCUAAGUACCCCGAGGAAAAGAAAUCAACCGAGAUUCCCCCAGUAGCGGCGAGCGAACGGGGAGCAGCCCAGAGCCUGAAUCAGUGUGUGUGUUAGUGGAAGCGUCUGGAAAGGCGCGCGAUACAGGGUGACAGCCCCGUACACAAAAAUGCACAUGCUGUGAGCUCGAUGAGUAGGGCGGGACACGUGGUAUCCUGUCUGAAUAUGGGGGGACCAUCCUCCAAGGCUAAAUACUCCUGACUGACCGAUAGUGAACCAGUACCGUGAGGGAAAGGCGAAAAGAACCCCGGCGAGGGGAGUGAAAAGAACCUGAAACCGUGUACGUACAAGCAGUGGGAGCACGCAGAGCAAUCUGUGUGACUGCGUACCUUUUGUAUAAUGGGUCAGCGACUUAUAUUCUGUAGCAAGGUUAACCGAAUAGGGGAGCCGAAGGGAAACCGAGUCUUAACUGGGCGUUAAGUUGCAGGGUAUAGACCCGAAACCCGGUGAUCUAGCCAUGGGCAGGUUGAAGGUUGGGUAACACUAACUGGAGGACCGAACCGACUAAUGUUGAAAAAUUAGCGGAUGACUUGUGGCUGGGGGUGAAAGGCCAAUCAAACCGGGAGAUAGCUGGUUCUCCCCGAAAGCUAUUUAGGUAGCGCCUCGUGAAUUCAUCUCCGGGGGUAGAGCACUGUUUCGGCAAGGGGGUCAUCCCGACUUACCAACCCGAUGCAAACUGCGAAUUACCGGAGAAUGUUAUCACGGGAGACACACGGCGGGUGCUAACGUCCGUCGUGAAGAGGGAAACAACCCAGACCGCCAGCUAAGGUCCCAAAGUCAUGGUUAAGUGGGAAACGAUGUGGGAAGGCCCAGACAGCCAGGAUGUUGGCUUAGAAGCAGCCAUCAUUUAAAGAAAGCGUAAUAGCUCACUGGUCGAGUCGGCCUGCGCGGAAGAUGUAACGGGGCUAAACCAUGCACCGAAGCUGCGGCAGCGACGCUGAUGCGUUGUUGGGUAGGGGAGCGUUCUGUAAGCCUGCGAAGGUGUGCUGUGAGGCAUGCUGGAGGUAUCAGAAGUGCGAAUGCUGACAUAAGUAACGAUAAAGCGGGUGAAAAGCCCGCUCGCCGGAAGACCAAGGGUUCCUGUCCAACGUUAAUCGGGGCAGGGUGAGUCGACCCCUAAGGCGAGGCCGAAAGGCGUAGUCGAUGGGAAACAGGUUAAUAUUCCUGUACUUGGUGUUACUGCGAAGGGGGGACGGAGAAGGCUAUGUUGGCCGGGCGACGGUUGUCCCGGUUUAAGCGUGUAGGCUGGUUUUCCAGGCAAAUCCGGAAAAUCAAGGCUGAGGCGUGAUGACGAGGCACUACGGUGCUGAAGCAACAAAUGCCCUGCUUCCAGGAAAAGCCUCUAAGCAUCAGGUAACAUCAAAUCGUACCCCAAACCGACACAGGUGGUCAGGUAGAGAAUACCAAGGCGCUUGAGAGAACUCGGGUGAAGGAACUAGGCAAAAUGGUGCCGUAACUUCGGGAGAAGGCACGCUGAUAUGUAGGUGAAGUCCCUCGCGGAUGGAGCUGAAAUCAGUCGAAGAUACCAGCUGGCUGCAACUGUUUAUUAAAAACACAGCACUGUGCAAACACGAAAGUGGACGUAUACGGUGUGACGCCUGCCCGGUGCCGGAAGGUUAAUUGAUGGGGUCAGCGCAAGCGAAGCUCUUGAUCGAAGCCCCGGUAAACGGCGGCCGUAACUAUAACGGUCCUAAGGUAGCGAAAUUCCUUGUCGGGUAAGUUCCGACCUGCACGAAUGGCGUAAUGAUGGCCAGGCUGUCUCCACCCGAGACUCAGUGAAAUUGAACUCGCUGUGAAGAUGCAGUGUACCCGCGGCAAGACGGAAAGACCCCGUGAACCUUUACUAUAGCUUGACACUGAACAUUGAGCCUUGAUGUGUAGGAUAGGUGGGAGGCUUUGAAGUGUGGACGCCAGUCUGCAUGGAGCCGGCCUUGAAAUACCACCCUUUAAUGUUUGGUGUUCUAACGUUGACCCGUGAUCCGGGUUGCGGACAGUGUCUGGUGGGUAGUUUGACUGGGGCGGUCUCCUCCUAAAGAGUAACGGAGGAGCACGAAGGUUGGCUAAUCCUGGUCGGACAUCAGGAGGUUAGUGCAAUGGCAUAAGCCAGCUUGACUGCGAGCGUGACGGCGCGAGCAGGUGCGAAAGCAGGUCAUAGUGAUCCGGUGGUUCUGAAUGGAAGGGCCAUCGCUCAACGGAUAAAAGGUACUCCGGGGAUAACAGGCUGAUACCGCCCAAGAGUUCAUAUCGACGGCGGUGUUUGGCACCUCGAUGUCGGCUCAUCACAUCCUGGGGCUGAAGUAGGUCCCAAGGGUAUGGCUGUUCGCCAUUUAAAGUGGUACGCGAGCUGGGUUUAGAACGUCGUGAGACAGUUCGGUCCCUAUCUGCCGUGGGCGCUGGAGAAUUGAGGGGGCUGCUCCUAGUACGAGAGGACCGGAGUGGACGCAUCACUGGUGUUCGGGUUGUCAUGCCAAUGGCACUGCCCGGUAGCUAAAUGCGGAAGAGAUAAGUGCUGAAAGCAUCUAAGCACGAAACUUGCCCCGAGAUGAGUUCUCCCUGACUCCUUGAGAGUCCUGAAGGAACGUUGAAGACGACGACGUUGAUAGGCCGGGUGUGUAAGCGCAGCGAUGCGUUGAGCUAACCGGUACUAAUGAACCGUGAGGCUUAACCUU
rnacentral:rRNA from 1 species